rnacentral:lncRNA from 1 species
ACACUUCUUGCAAGCCAUGGAUGGCGGGGUGGAUUACGCGUGCUCCAUGCUCCGACUAGGUGCAGAACACGACGGGGUGGGAAGCGCUCGGCAUCUGGGGUCCGUGGAUGAAGCAGGUGCCCUGGAUGCCACGAUGCUGGUCAUCGGGCGUAGACACAAGCAAGAGCAUGAAGUGGAAGUCCAUCUACUUGAACUCUAUCCGGUGGUACACCUGCUUCCAUGGGUUCUAAAUCCCAAAAGGUAGCGUCAUGGAGGCGUAGUUCAUUUCCACGUAAACUAGCUUCCCGUGCAUAUCUUUACAAGAAUCCAUCCACAAUGGUGGCUGCUAGUUAGCUUGCCGGAUAGUACUAAUCUAAUCUUGUUUUUCUGUGUCUAAGUAUGAUGUCUGUAGCCAUCUAAUCGUUUUUUGAUUCUUCUCAUCUAUCAAGAUUCCCCAAGGCAUCAAACUAAUCACAAAAUGUCUCUUAUGAAUACAUGAACAUUCUCUUGCAAUCCUUUUUGAGAAAAAAAUAUGCAUAACUAGUGUAAGAACUAACUUCAUGUAGAAUACUUGAGUAUGUAAAAUAUUUUUUUUACUAACGCAUAGAAAUAAAAUUAAAAAAUAUCCAUUUUUUACAUGGUAGAUAAUUUAGUGCGUGAGGUUCGCUCAAAUUUCACCUCAUCUCGACAUAUGAGUAGCUGUCAGCAAAAAAGACAAAUUGGGUCACAACAAUAAAUGAACACUAAAUAUUUUUACAAACCCCAAAUUGUCUUUUUUGUCGAGGGAUACUCACAUGUCCAAAUGAUCUGAAAUUAGGAGCACACCUCACGCACCAAACUCUUUACCAUGUAUUUUUUUGAUUUCCUAUUUUUUUCUAGUAUUUGUUUUGAAUUUGUUAUGCAUCAAAGGUGCAGAUGAGCUUGGGCACCGAAUUGUUGUUGUGUGUAAUGAUGUACUUUUUUUGACACUAUCACUCUUUUCUCUUGGUUUUUCAGAAUGAUAUACAAUAAGAAAUCUGGGAAGGUUUGGCCAUUGAUAUCAUCGAUUAACAAGAGGCUGAUGAAGCUUUAUGAUGUAAUUAGAGGUGAUUGCUAGUUGUAUUUGUUGGUUGUCGUGUCAUGUGAGAUAGUACAAUUGUACUUUUGUAUGUUGUAUGAUAAAGCUUGAAAAGAAAUCAUAUAGUG